AUUGAACGCUGGCGGCAUGCCUUACACAUGCAAGUCGAACGGCAGCACGGGAGCAAUCCUGGUGGCGAGUGGCGAACGGGUGAGUAACAUAUCGGAACGUGCCCAGUCGUGGGGGAUAACGCAGCGAAAGCUGUGCUAAUACCGCAUACGAUCUAUGGAUGAAAGCGGGGGAUCGCAAGACCUCGCGCGAUUGGAGCGGCCGAUAUCAGAUUAGCUAGUUGGUGAGGUAAAGGCUCACCAAGGCGACGAUCUGUAGCUGGUCUGAGAGGACGACCAGCCACACUGGAACUGAGACACGGUCCGGACUCCUACGGGAGGCAGCAGUGGGGAAUUUUGGACAAUGGGCGCAAGCCUGAUCCAGCAAUGCCGCGUGCAGGAUGAAGGCCUUCGGGUUGUAAACUGCUUUUGUACGGAACGAAACGGUCUUUCCUAAUACGAGAGGCUAAUGACGGUACCGUAAGAAUAAGCACCGGCUAACUACGUGCCAGCAGCCGCCGUAA
rnacentral:rRNA from 1 species